UGCUGCAGCCCGGUUGACAUUUGUGUUCCUGAUGUAAUAACCAGGUGCUAAAACACCGAGAUUACACUUGGAUCAACACAUUUGGUUCUUAAACCCCAAAAGUAAUUAUCUUUUCUCAUCUACAGUGGAUGGAAAUAUUAUUCCGUUAAGCGGCUCCGAGCGGUGUCACCAUUGCCAUGGCUCUGUGGAUCCUAACCUCAGGUUUUCCCCCCCUGGCUGGAAACUUUCUGGGGAGCUCUGGGUGAUCCUGGAGAGUUCGCAGGAAAACAUGUUGCUGGAGCCCGAGCCAGUGAGCGCUCUCCAUCUCCCGGUGCAGCUGGCUCGGAUCCCUGCAGAGCAGGGCCGCGCCCAGGGCCGCUCGGGCACCCUUUGGAAGGCAUUCCCGGGGAGGAAAUUGAUCGGGAAGUCAGGAGCGGCUUCAGCUCGGGGCUGGGAACCCUUGGGAGAGCUCUGGCCACAAUUAAGUGCCUAAUGAGGAGAGAGCGGGGAUUUCCCAAGUGCAGAGCCACAGAUGGGAAGGGAAGGCGUCUCUGUGGCAAUUCAGAUCCGUCCUGCUCGGAGCCUGGGAAUGGCCUCGUGGAGUGACUUCUGUUGCACCGUGGAUGCUGGGAAUUGUCAGGAACACAAACCUCGGUUCCUCAGGCGCCGCUCAAGGAGUGCUGGCUGGAGACCCCACGCGAGCGUUCCAAGGACAAGAGGCUUUCCAGGCAGUUUUCUGGACGCAGAGCCACCUGAGGAAGGUGCUGGUCCCCCGGGAGGCUGCUCUGGGGCGCCUGCCCUGCUGCUCUGUGUUGUUUUGUGUUCCUCCUCUGUGCCUCUGUGGGUGUGGGCUGGACCGAUGUUCUCCCUGCUCCCGUUUUUCCCUCCCUGGGAGCCGCUCCAUGCCCAAGCUGGGUCAAACCCGGCUCCCUGUGUGCCUUCUCUGCUCUCACCCUCCCUAACCCCAGAGUUUCCAGGGCAGAUCUGGGAGGCACUUGGUGCCCUCUCCACCCGUUUCCCCCUCGGUUACAGACGACGCUGUCCAGGUUUGCUGGUGGUGUUUUUCUGUUUCACCGCCUCUGCGGCCUCUCGGAACUCCUUGUUCCACCUCCAAACGCUGAUGAACACGGAGCCUGUCACCGCCAGCCUGGCUUAUCCUCCUUGGAGCACCUGAGUCAGAGCCUCCUGAGGGCGCUGGGAGUUCUUCCAGUGGAUCUCGACUCGGGGCUCCUCCAGGCUGGCGCUGGCUUUGAUGGGCUCGGAGAGCGGCACAGGCGGCACAAUGGGAUCCUUGUUCCUCUCGAGCCCCCCGGGAGCUGUACCGAGAUGCUGAAGUCAUCCCAAACAAACGCAGGUGGAACCCUUGUCGUUGUAGGGUGGCGUCUGAAGGGGCACAGGCACAGCUCUGACUGCGAUUGCCUCCUGAGCGUGGGCGGCUCAGGAGGCGGAGGGAGCCUGGAGUGGUGGGAGUUAUUCCUUGAAAUCCGGUGAUACGGACAAACGACGUGUCCGAGCAGGUAGCCGGGAUAGUUCUAGAGAUUUGGGAGCACCGCCGCGGUGUCCAUCCCCGAAGGUCCCUAAGGCAGCCGCUGGAGGAGUCGAGGGUGGCUUUUCCCCGCUGCUGCCUCCCCCGCUGCAGCCAGGCGGGGCGGAUUGAAUCUCUCCUCGCACACGGCCGAGCCAGAACAAGCAUCGUGCCGUGGCUGAGCGGCAGCCCAGACAGAGGCGGGCGUCCCGCGGGCCGAGGCAGGAAGCCUCGGGCUGCAGACCCCGA